rnacentral:snRNA from 1 species
GGAUGAGAGGGAAAUCUGGAUGUAACACCUAUCGGCAGGGUUGACUUGGCUGGUUUACCUGUCUAGGAGGGUUUCCCCUCCUUCCUUACCUUACCACUCCUGAAGAUAUGUGCUUAGUCAGAGGAUGACCAUCUCCAAAUAGAGAUGGAGUUAUCCUCAGUUUGCAGGGAGGUGUAUGAACAGCUGUACUCCCCUGCUAGAACCUCCAGACAAGCUCUCAAAAAAUAGCUGCCACCACUUAGUGCCAUUGCUCGGCAGAGGAAGCCUUCUGUCACUUCUGCUUUUCCUCUCC